rnacentral:rRNA from 1 species
UAGAGUUUGAUCCUGGCUCAGAUUGAACGCUGGCGGCAUGGCUAAAACAUGCAAGUCGAACGCGAACGUGGGCUUCGGCCCGCAAGUAGAGUGGCGAACGGGCGAGUAAUGCAUUUCUAACGUACCCCAGGGCCCGGGAUAGCUCGAGGAAACCCGGAUUAAUACCUGAUAACCCCGUCGAAUCGCAUGGUUUGACGGUCAAAGGCUUGCUGCCUUGGGAGCGGCGAUCGUCCUAUCAGGUAGUUGGUGAGGUAACGGCCUACCAAGCCUAAGACGGGUAGCGGGUGUGAGAGCAUGACCCGCCGCAUCGGGACUGAGACACUGCCCGGACUCCUACGGGAGGCUGCAGUAACGAAUAUUCCGCAAUGCGCGAAAGCGUGACGGAGCAAUGCCGCGUGUGGGAUGAAGCUCUUCGGAGUGUAAACUGCUGUCAGGGUUUAGGAAGAAAGUGACCAGACCCAAAGGAAGGGCCGGCUAAAUUCGUGCCAGCAGCCGCGGUAAUACGAAUGGCCCGAGCGUUGCGCGGAAUCACUGGGCUUAAAGCGUGCGUAGGCGGACAUGUAAGGAUCUUGUGAAAUCCCAUGGCUCAACCAUGGAACUGCUCGGUAUACUGCGUAUCUUGAGGCCGGUAGGGGUUGUCGGAACUCUAGGUGUAGCGGUGAAAUGCGUAGAUAUCUAGAGGAACGCCCAUGACGAAGGUAGGCAACUGGGCCGGUUCUGACGCUGAGGCACGAAAGCGUGGGGAGCGAACGGGAUUAGAUCCCCCGGUAGUCCACGCCGUAAACGAUGUGCACUAGAUCCGGGAGGUUCUGACACCAUCCGGGUCGAAGAGAAAUCAUUAAGUGUACCGCCUGGGGAGUACGGUCGCAAGAUUAAAACUCAAAGGAAUUGACGGGGGCUCACACAAGCGGUGGAGCAUGUGGCUUAAUUCGAGGCAACGCGAAGAACCUUAUCCUGGGUUUGACAUGUAUGAAUUAGCUUUUGGAAACAUAAGUGACGCGGUUUACCGUGGAACAUACACAGGUGCUGCAUGGCUGUCGUCAGCUCGUGCCGUGAGGUGUUAGGUUAAGUCCUUUAACGAGCGAAACCCUUGCCGUUAGUUGCUAACAGAUAAUGCUGAGGACUCUAGCGGGACUGCCGGUGUUAAACCGGAGGAAGGUGGGGAUGACGUCAAGUCCUCAUGGCCUUUAUGCCCAGGGCUGCACACGUGCUACAAUGGCGUAUACAAAGCGAAGCAAUACUGCAAAGUGGAGCAAAUCGCAAAAAAUACGCCUCAGUUCGGAUUGGAGUCUGCAACUCGACUCCAUGAAGUUGGAAUCGCUAGUAAUCGCGUAUCAGCUACGACGCGGUGAAUACGUUCCUGAGCCUUGUACACACCGCCCGUCAAGUCAUGGAAGCUGGUAGUACCCGAAGCCGCACUAAUUCAAGUGUGUCGACGGUAAGAUUGGUGACUGGGACUAAGUCGUAACAAGGUAACC